GAUGAACGCUGGCGGCGUGCCUAAUACAUGCAAGUCGAGCGAACGGACGAGAAGCUUGCUUCUCUGAUGUUAGCGGCGGACGGGUGAGUAACACGUGGAUAACCUACCUAUAAGACCGGGAUAACUUCGGGAAACCGGAGCUAAUACCGGAUAAUAUUUUGAACCGCAUGGUUCAAAAGUGAAAGACGGUCUUGCUGUCACUUAUAGAUGGAUCCGCGCUGCAUUAGCUAGUUGGUAAGGUAACGGCUUACCAAGGCAACGAUGCAUAGCCGACCUGAGAGGGUGAUCGGCCACACUGGAACUGAGACACGGUCCAGACUCCUACGGGAGGCAGCAGUAGGGAAUCUUCCGCAAUGGGCGAAAGCCUGACGGAGCAACGCCGCGUGAGUGAUGAAGGUCUUCGGAUCGUAAAGCUCUGUUAUUAGGGAAGAACAUAUGUGUAAGUAACUGUGCACAUCUUGACGGUACCUAAUCAGAAAGCCACGGCUAACUACGUG
rnacentral:rRNA from 1 species